AUGGCUCAGGAUGAACGCUAGCUACAGGCUUAACACAUGCAAGUCAGGGGUAACAUGAUGGAGCUUGCUCCGAUUGAUGACGACCGGCGCACGGGUGAGUAACGCGUAUCCAACCUGCCCCAUGCUCAGGGAUAACCUUCCGAAAGGGAGCCUAAUACCUGAUGUUGUGCGACGAUGGCAUCAGAAUUGCACGAAAGAUUCAUCGGCAUGGGAUGGGGAUGCGUCUGAUUAGCUUGCCGGCGGGGUAACGGCCCACCGGGGCUACGAUCAGUAGGGUUCUGAGAGGAAGGUCCCCCACACAGGUACUGAGACACGGACCAGACUCCUACGGGAGGCAGCAGUGAGGAAUAUUGGUCAAUGGGCGGGAGCCUGAACCAGCCAAGUAGCGUUGCAGGAAGACGGCCCUACGGGUUGUAAACUGCUUUUAUGAGGGGAUAAAGUGGGCUACGUGUAGCUUAUUGCAGGUACCUCAUGAAUAAGGACCGGCUAAUUCCGUGCCAGCCGCCGC
rnacentral:rRNA from 1 species